UGCCCAGCAACUCCUAUCCCUACCUCCUCGCGGUACUUUUCGGGGUACGAAAAACAAUAGGGAAGAUCAGGUAACCAACCCCCGGUGGGAACUUUGAUCGUAUGCUGACAGGGAAGG
rnacentral:ribozyme from 1 species